CCUGACAGAGGUAACAGUGAGCUGUGUCAGUGCCUGACAGCGGUGACAGCAUGACAGUGGGCUGUGUCAGUACCUGACAGAGGUGUCAGCGUGACAGUGAGCUGUGUCAGUGCCUGACAGAGGUGUCAGUGAACUGUGUCAGUGCCUGACAGCGGUGACAGCAUGACAGUGGGCUGUGUCAGUACCUGAGAGGGGUGACAGCAUGACAAUGAGCUGUGUCAGUGCCUGACAGAGGUGUCAGCAUGACUGAGUUGUGUCAGUGCCUGACAGAGGUGUCAGCGUGACUGAGCUGUGUCAGUGCCUGACAGGGGUAAUAGUGAGCUGUGUCAGUGCCUGACAGAGGUAACAGUGAGCUGUGUCAGUGCCUGACAGAGGUGACAGCAUGACAGUGGGCUGUGUCAGUACCUGACAGAGGUGUCAGCGUGACAGUGAGCUGUGUCAAUGCCUGACAGAGGUAACAGUGAGCUGUGUCAGUGCCUGACAGCGGUGACAGCAUGACAGUGGGCUGUGUCAGUACCUGACAGAGGUGUCAGCGUGACAGUGAGCUGUGUCAGUGCCUGACAGAGGUAACAGUGAGCUGUGUCAGUGCCUGACAG